UACGUAGGCAGCAAGCGUUGUUCGGAAUUACUGGGCGUAAAGAGUGUGUAGGCGGUGCUCUAAGUUCGGUGUGAAAUCUCCCGGCUUAACUGGGAGAGGCCAAGGAAUACUAUCUGACUUGAGUAUGGUAGGGGUAACUGGAAUUCCCGGUGUAGCGGUGAAAUGCGUAGAUAUCUGGAGGAACACCGGUGGCGAAGGCGGCAUCCUGGACCGGCACUGACGCUGAGGAGCGAAAGCCAGGGGAGCAAACGGG
rnacentral:rRNA from 1 species